GACGAACGCUGGCGGCGUGCCUAAUACAUGCAAGUAGAACGCCGUUGCGAACGGGUGAGUAACGCGUCGGUAACUGCCUCAUAGCGGGGGAUAACUAUUGGAAACGAUAGGUAAUACCCCAUACUGUGAGAUGGACCUGCGUUGUAUUAGCUAGUUGGUGCGGUAAAGGCUCACCAAGGCGCCGAUACAUAGCCGACCUGAGAGGGUGGUCGGCCAAACGGGGACUGGGAAACGGCCCAGACUCCGACGGGAGGCAGCAGGAGGGAAUCAUCGGCAAUGGACGGAAGGCUGAACGAGCAACGCCGCGGGAGUGAAGAAGGGCUUCGGAGUGGAAAGCUCUGUUGUGAGAGGAGCGGUAACUAACCAGAAAGGGACGGCUAACUACGUGCCAGCAGCCGCGGUAAUAC
rnacentral:rRNA from 1 species